rnacentral:misc_RNA from 1 species
AACAUCGCGCACCUGCGGGAACCUGCGGAAGGAUCAUUAAAAAGAGUGUGUACCCCUCUGUAAAAUGAGUGGGUUACCUCCCGUCCUUUGUUGACCUCUUAGGAGGUUAUUUUGAACUUUCUGCUUCGGUGGGGUUAAACCUACCGGAACACCCUCAAAUUCUUAUCAUUUAAAAAUUGUUCAGUCUGAUUUUUGUUAAUAAAAACAAAAAACUUUUAACAACGGAUCUCAGAUCGGAAG